rnacentral:lncRNA from 1 species
UUUGUUUUAGCCAUCAAUGCCAUAUAUAGGUAGAACAUGCUAACUGGCUCUCUAGCAUUGGCUUAUCUGAGACAAGCAUUAACAACUUAUCUAUAAUAAAGGGAAAAGAAAACGUCUUUUUUUUUAUGAAAGAGAAUUUCAAUUAUGACAAGCUUGAAUAGGUUGAAGAUCUGGUGGAGGUUGCAUAUGAAGUACCUUUGGUCUAGAUAAAUAAAGUUAAGAAAAAAGAAGAAACUAUACAUAGAGUAUUAGCCACCAAAUGUGCUAUUAUUUUACUUAUUUGAGGUAGGAAAAAAAUGAUUGUGCAAAUAGAAUAACAUAGUCUUUUUUUCUUUAUUUACUUUAAUCAUGCAGUUUUGAGAGGAAGGAAUGACUUCUGCUAAUCCAAGAUUUUGAUCGAAAAUUAAUAAAAUUAAUCAACAUUUGUUUUAGUAAAAUUCCGAGUUCGAAAUCUUUUGAUCGGUUCAUUCUUACUCUAACUUAUUAGUUAAUUAAUUGUAAAUUGAUAUAAUUAAUUAUUU